UUCGAUUUUUUAAAAAAAUUUAUCUUGGGUU
rnacentral:piRNA from 1 species